rnacentral:rRNA from 1 species
GACGAACGCUGGCGGCGUGCCUAAUACAUGCAAGUAGAACGAGUUGCGAACGGGUGAGUAACGCGUGGUAACCUGCCUCAUAGCGGGGGAUAACUAUUGGAAACGCUAGCUAAUACCGCAUACUGUGAGAUGGACCUGCUUUGGAUUAUCUAGUUGUUGGGGUAACGGCUCACAUAGGCGACGAUCCCUAGCUGGUCUGAGAGGAUGACCAGCCACACUGGAACUGAGACACGGUCCAGACUCCUACUGGAGGCAGCAGUGGGGAAUAUUGCACAAUGGGCGCAAGCCUGAUGCAGCCAUGCCGCGUGUAUGAAGAAGGCCCUCGGGUUGUAAAGUACUUUCAGCGAGGAGGCGUUACUCGCAGAAGAAGCACCGGCUAACUCCGUGCCAGCAGCCGCGGUAAUAC